GCUAAACUGAGGUUAAUUGUCUAGAUAAAGAAAUCGUGUAUAUUUGUUUUCCUAGAAUGUUCUCGAUCUAACUUUAGUGAAUUUAUUAUAUUGCAUUGACAAAAAUAUUUGUCCGGCCCGUUUCAACACAGUUUGAGUCAUAUCCGGCCCGCGGUCAAAAAUGUUUGGUGACCCCUGCUCCAGAGUCUAGAGACAAGAUAAAUCAGAAAAGAGAAUGAUGAAGUCCGCAAUCAUUUUAUUAUUGGUAGCAAUGUUUGUCGUCAAUAGCGACGGUUUGGUCAGGAUCAGGAGAGCUUUUAAAGAUGCAAUAAAGCCCAUAAAGAUCCUGAGGGGGAAAACGCCAAAAUGCUUUUCAAGCAACCUGCUAAAGCCGCCGUUCAUGGAGAUAUGCGAGCUUUAAGAGAAUUGGACGAAGCUGAAAUGAAUCAAAUGAUUGAGGCCCUUAAAAUGAUCAGAGAUAUGGAUGAGGAUGAAUUCAACCAUUUUAGAAAUGCUCAGUCCGAAUAAUCUUCAUGAUGUUGAAUGUUUACAGUGAUAGUAGUAUAAGAAAAACAAACAAACAUGCAACUUUUUUGAUUCAAAAUCUUCACUCAAAUCUUUGUUUGAUUAUUUAAGAGAAAGAUAUUUUUCAUUGGUCAGUGUAAUACAGAGUGAAUAUUUGAACUAACUAAACUUAAUUUCGUUAGUUAAUUUAACAAAAAUUAUGAAUAUGUUCCUUGGUGUUUUUCUUUCUACUAUCAUGUCAUACAUGCUUUGGAUCCGAUUAUUUUUUUUCGGAAUAGUAAAAGCUGGAACACAGUA